rnacentral:lncRNA from 1 species
CACAGCCUGGUCAUACUCACUCCUGAACUCAGUGUAUAGAACUGGAAUAAAAGUUAGUUGCCCUUGCAGGCUCUGAGUCAGGCUGUCAAGCCCGUAGACCAGCUAUGGGCCAUGUCCUGCCCAGGCAUUCCAGGCAGGAGGAAGAGUUUGAGCAAACUCCAAAAGGGAAGAGGUGGCCAGGCCCUUUUGAAGAACUGCUGGCAGUUCAGUGAGACUGGAAUUUAUUCAUGUGGACAGAGAUGUAUCAGUCAUCUAGAAUUGAUGUUUGUGAUCGAUGUGAAGUCGGAUCAAGAUACAUUUUUUUCUCCAUGUGCAGCCCAGUAUGUUAAAGGGACCGUCCUUUCACUAUCACUGUGCAGUGCCACCUUCACCUAAAUCAAGUGUCUCUACCUCCAGGGAAGACUUCUCCACCCAAAGAUGGGAGAAGCCAGGACACUCUCGACCUGUGUCUCCGGGGAACCAAACCUCAGAUCAGGCACAGGGUGAAUGGGGGGAACCCCCUCCAGG